CUACGCAGGUCCGGUCUCUCCAUCGUGAACUGUACUCGUACGAUUCCUAGGCAGCCGCCGCCACACCUUUACUCGUCCAAUUCGCCAAUUCACCUCUGGCCUCUCUCCUCUCGAUCUCUUCUGUUCGUUCAUCGAUCCAUCAUCGGACCCCAGCGGCAAGCCGUCAAUUCAAUUCCAUAUUGAAGAAAGACGAGGAGCUACACCAGAGCUAUGAAAUUAUUUCGGUACUACUUUAUUUAUAGUAUCUGAACAAGUGGUUUUAGAAUUUCAUCCAACUGCUCUGCUCAUGAAUGAUUGGCUUUGUGUUUUCCAUUACAACUCUGCAAGCAUGGGACAUUGUGGAAAGAAAAUCAGCUAAGUAAAGUUGGCAUCGCUGCCCAUCAAUAGUUUGUCAUUUCUCUCUGCCUUUGUAAUAUUUCUUCACUUUGCCAGGAAGAAAAGGAAGCUCCUUUAGCUUUGGAGGAAAAAGAGGUCAUUCUACAGCAGAACAUGUGUUGAAAGUUGAACUGGUGGGAAGUUCUCUUCUUUUCUUCUUGAUCCGGAAAUGAUAAAAUCCGAACCUUCAGGAUUUGAUCAUGACAAAUCGAACAUUUUUUAUGGCAACUUUAGUUGACGCGAGGAUGGCAAUUGUAGUUGGCAGGCACAUCAAUUUCCUGACAAAAAAUAAACUGAGAGCGGAUUUGCCAUGCUUACAAACUAAACAUACCAUGAUCGACAAACAUAAAUAACCACAAAAAAUGUUAGAUUUGCCAUAGUCAAGUCCUGAACAUUCAGGACUUAUCGGCGUCCUUUUGAUUUUACGAAAACGUUGCUUCCAGGGUGGUGUUUAAAAUCUUUCUUCACCCAAUAUCAGACGACCUCCUCUAAAACCGCGCGGGGGUGGGUGGGCUACAUAGCACUGCCGUCGCCGCAAACCUGUCGCACUGUUUUCCCCUUUCCUCAA